CUUGAUGUGGCCUCUAGUCCUUCUGACAUCUGUGGGACUUCUUUCCAGUUGCCAUGGAGCCUAGUGGCAUAGUGAGGUUAAGUUGGUACUGUGCUGUGCCAUUUUGUGGUUCACCUCAGUGAUCAACUUCUUAUUGGGCAAAAGUUGAGAUCUGAGUGGAAGCCUGGAGUGACCAAGCAGUCUCACCCCUGUUCAGCUUUGCCCUCAGAUGGAAGAGGCCUGGUCCAGGGCCCUCAAAAGAGGCAGAAGAUCCAAAUGGACUUGGUACAGUAAGGAAGAAGGAAAAAAUCACUGAAGAAGUAAACAGCUCAGGGAAGGGAUUCCCCACCUCCCUGGAACAGUGGAAAGCUGCAGAAGAGCAGUUGAAGGAGGGUAUUGAGUGGGAGUAUCAACCAGUGACUUCUGGGUGUGGAAAAGAGCUGCAGAGGAAAGCAACAUAAGUCCAGACAGGGGAACCACGGAGAACACAGUCCUGCCUCACAUAUUGGAAGCCUACCCAGGGCAGUGCUGUAAGUCACAGAGACUGUACAGGUCUCUGGGGGGAGGGGGGAAGCUCCUCAAUCCUUUGGGCUCACUGUCCUCUAGUCCAGAUGCUCUCUGAACUGGGAUUUCCCUUCUUAAAAUGAGGUUUCUAGAAGGGAACACAACUCUUCCCCCACCCACACUCGCCCCCACCCCCAAAUGUGCUAGAUGGCAGAGGUAGAGGAAGGUGUCAUUUUAAACAUUUUACUUCAGGGUAUUCCAGAGUAUCAUUUUCAUUGACAUACUGGGUUUCAGUAAUCUGUUAUUAGAGAAUCAGCAUUUCCAAGAGGGAAAGAACGUUAGAAUUCAUCAAGUCCACUCUGCUCAUAUUAUAGAUGAGGAAACUGAGGCCCAAGGAACUAUGACUGAAUAUUGGCAUCUCUUCCCUUUUUAAGUUCAUUUAAAGCACUCUUUUAAUUAAAAAAAAAAACAACCUCUUACCUUCUGUCUUAGAAUCAAUACUGUAUAUGAGUAAGGUAAGGGCCAAGCAAUAGGGGUUAAUUAAGUGACUUGCUAAGGAUCACAUAGCUAGGAAAGUGUCUGAGACCAGAUUUGAACCCAUGUCCCUCCCCCAUCUUCAGGUCUGGCUCUUGGUCCACUGAGCCACCUAGCUGCCACCAAAUAAACCAUUAUACUAUGUUCCCAAUGUUUGCCAGUCUAGCAAUCUCUUUUUAAAGAUAGUGGGAGUUUUUAGAAGACAAACAUUCACAUCUUAAUGUGAAGCAGCCCAAUGAUAUUGAUUUCCUAAAACUCUAGCUGACAUCUAUAUCUUUAGGGAUGGGAGUUUUGAUUGUGAAGGGAGCAUAGGUAAAAUGGGGAUUAUGAAACACUUUGAGGAGCAGGAAGAUCUUGGGUGGAGUGAUUUUAUAAUUGUCACAUUGCUGUGCUGUUAUAACAAUGACAAUUUGUCAGGCUGCAGAGGAUAAAAGCACCAAGUGAGGGUAAGUCAAAAAGACCUCCAUUGGGAUAAAAAGCUGUAGAAAACAAGGUGUGCUCAAGAAUGAUGUAGAAAACAAGGUGAUCAAAGAUGAUGUGUUUAGUAGCCCCCACUUGUUGAUCCUAGCUUGCAGUGUUUCAUGGUUUUUUACCUGCAGAUUUUUAGAUUAAGCCCAUCUCAGGCACUACUUGUGACUCAGCCAAGGCUCUAGUCUAAUUGCUGGCUGACUAUCUCUCCAUCUUUCUCUUAAUUAAGAUUUUUCCCUCUUUCCACCAUCCCCAUACCCAAAGGUUGACUCUUCUCUCAUUCCUUGCCUUCUCCCCAAUAAAGGACCCACAGAUUCCUUAUUGUGCCAAGUCCAAUCCCUUCAGGUUGACAAAUGGGGCAGCAGUGGGGGACAGGGCUCAAGAAAGUAGAAGAGACUUGAGUAACUGAAGAGAAAAAUAAUAGGAGAUGAAAACUGGAAUGAGAUGAAAAGGAAGGGGAUGAUGAGGUGACAGUGUCAAAAUCACCUAUUUCAAAGAGUAGUCUAGAGGCAUCCCUGGAGAAGUGCCUCCAAAUGGAGAGGUAACUAACUCUUCCACCUCUUUCCUCCUCCCCAUCUUUCUUUUUCUCCCCUCAUCCUUUCUUCUUCCCACUCACCCCAGUCUUAUUACUAACAUCUCUGUUCCCAGGAUCUAGAACUCAGGGUAGGUAAUGCUAUAAAAUUGAGCUAAAUCAUGGAUCAAAUCAAUCUUGAAGAAAUUCUUAUUUUUUUGUCUCAUGUUUUUCUGCCACACUCAUUUCCCAGCAUAACUCUUCUCCUGAAGCCUCCCUUCUAACAAAGACAGUUAAGCAGAGACCAACUGACAUCUCACAUGCAACAUUCCAUACCCAGAGUCCCCUUUAGCUCUACCUUCAACCAGACUGUUUGUGGUUUGAACUAACUGUGCUUCAGAAAAAAUCGUUUCUUUGGGGGAGGGGAGGAAUGUGUUCCUAGUUCUAACCAACCCAAGUUAUAAAAUUGCUUUUGGAAUUGACUGUUUUAUAUAUUGGGAUUCAUCUAUACAAUUUGUGAAGUUUGACUACAAAUUUUUAAGGAUUGUUGUAUUUUAAAUAAAGAAAAAUGCACAUGCCCUAAAGUGCUUUCAGAAAUAUUUUGUGAAUUUACAUAAGAAAAUGCAUCUUGCCUCCUUAGAAUUUCAUUUCAUUUUGAUCCCAAAUUACCUUGCCUACAGUGAGUUGCUCUUCAUUAGACUUGACUCCAAAUAACUUUUGUCUAAAAAUCAAAUGUCAAAGAAUGAAGCUUUGCCUGCAGUGAGGAUAUGAGGACUUCAGGGGCUGAAAACAAUCCUCAAAAAAGAUCCCCAAAGCCUCAUGAUCUUUGAACUGGGGGGAAUUCAGAGUCCAGGUAUGAUACAUGACAAAUGAAUGAUGGAAAAGUGCUAAGAAUAUAUCAGGGAAGGCUUCAGAAAGAAAGUGCUAUCUGAGCUAAGUCCAAGUCUUGGGAAAUUGAAGAAUUCUGAGAGUUGGAGCUGAUGGGAUAGCAUUCUAGCUUCCAGCACCUGCAAUACUCCCCAUAAAGGAAUAUCCCAUAAUCAGUCAAUAAGAAUUUAUUAAGGAUUAUGUUUCAAGACACUAAGAUAAGCCCUAAGGAUGCAAAGAAAAGAAAAUGCAUGGCAUUUGCCCCCCAGGACCUAAAUUCUAAUGAGGUCAAGUUGGUCUCAGGUUUUACAAUACAAAUCUCUUUUAUGGCCUGGGACAGUGGAUAUAGAGUCAGCUCUGGAGUCAGGAAAACUUGGAUUCAAAUUCUACCACUGACAUUUAUUGGCUAUAUGUCUCUGGAAUUGGAACAUUGGAAAGGCCAUUUAGAUCAACUCAUGAGAAAGUGAAAUCACCACUACCACAUACACACCAAGUGGUUGUUCAACUUCUGCUUGAAGGUAUGCAAUGUGGAGGAGUCCGCCACUUCUGGAAGCAAUAUUUUGCACAGCUCUCCUGCUUAAGAAGCUUUUCCUUACCUGAAGCCUAAAUUGGCCUCUUUGCCACUUCUGCUCUUCUGUCCUGUUUGAACAAGUUCAAAUCCUCCUGCACAUGGCAAUCCUUCAAAUACUUGAAAGCAGCUAUCAUGUGACCCCUGAGUUUUCUCUUCUCCAGGCUAAACUUGCUCAGUUCCUUCAACCUGCCAUCAUAUAACAUAAAUUCAAGUCCCUUCACAAUCAACAUACCGUCUUCUAAACAUUCUCCAGUUAAUCAAUAUUCUUCUUAAACCAUAGCACCUAGACUUGAAUUUGCAUUCCAGAUGAGGAUUGAUGCAGGCAAAAUACAAUAGGAAGGACUACCACUUCUCUUGGAAGCUAUUCCACUCUUCACAUAGCCCAAUAUUUCAUUAGUUGUUUGGGCUGCCACAUCACAAUGCUGACUCAAAGUGAGCUUGGCAGCCUCUCAAAACUCCAACUCUUUUUUGAAACUCUUGUCUACUCAUGAAAAUUUUUGUUUGUGCCCAGAGACAAGAUUUUUGUAUUUAUUCCUAUUGAUUGUCAUUUUAUUAGAUAUAGCCCAAUGCUGUACCACCUAUUAAGAUCCUUUGGUUCACGAUUCUGUUAAUUGGUGUGAUGCGUGUCCCUCCCAGCUUUGUGUCAUCUACAUAUCCAAUGAGCAUAUCAUCUAAAUGAUGUUUAUCCAAGUCAUUUAAAAAAUGUUAAACAGCAGAGGGCCAUACACGGAUCCUUGGGGCACUUCUCUGGAUACUUCCUUCUGUCAACAUUGACACUGAACAAUAAUUAGCAACUGCUUGUUGAGUUCUACCAUCCAACUAGUUAUGAAUCCUCCUAAUUGUAUAAUUCCUAUCAGUUGCAAUCAGCAAAUAAACAUUAAGCACUCAUUUUGUCCCAGUGAUUGUUACUACGAGUCAUUUAAUGCUAAUAGCUACAGCUGGAUGGCACAAUGAAUGCCACUCCACACCUGGAAUCAAAACCCAAGUUCAAAUAUGAACUCAGACACUUACUAGCUGUGUGACCCUGAGUAAGUCAUUUAACCCUAUUUCCCCCAGUUCCUUCAUCUGUAAAAAUGAACAGAAGAAAAUGGCAAACCACUCCAAAAAGUUGGACAUGACUGAAACAACAACUGUAAUAGGUAAUAUUUAUAUAGAGCUUUUAGGUUUGCAAAGCCUUUUACAUACGUUAACUCAUUUGAUUUUUAGUUGGAGUUGGAAAUGGCAAAACACUCUAUCUUUACCAGAAAAUCCCAAAUGGAGUCAGGAAGAAUUAGACUCCACUGAAAGGACUGAACCAUACCAUAGUAAUUAGAGGAUCCAGAAUUCAAGUUGUAUUCUAAUCACACCAAAUCCCAUGGUCCCAGCUCCCUUCCUGAUAGUUGAAAAUUUUCCUCCUUGUCAUAAUUAUACUGGUACUUCAGGCUAGAUUAAAACCCAUUUUUUCUUCUCUUA